UCCAGGCAUCCAGGGGCAGCCACAGGAAACCUGUGCCAGGGCCUCAGCAGCCUCACAGGGAAGAAUUGACAUAAUUAAUGUAACUAACAUAGUUCCUUCUGAAGGUCCAAUGGUGAAAAGCAUCCCUGUAGCUUCAGCUGAUGAAUUUCAACACUGAAAGGCACAAAAAACCCCAGAAGAAAUGGAGCUCAAGCUGGCCAGGACGAACAUUUCCUCUCCUGCUGCCAAUUAUGGGGCAAGGAUUACAUCACAGCGUGUUAGUAGAAUUAAAUAUCUAUUUGAACUUUGCUUCUCGUGUACUUUUUAAUUUUAAUAUUAUUUAUUCUUUGACUUUCAAUAAUUCAUCGAGAUGCGUCCAUAUCGGUAAUUAAAACAUGUACAGUAAGAAACAGAGCUCACAUAAAUUAUUCCACGGCAUUCAUUAUUUAUUUGGCCACUUACAGCUGUGCAAAAUUUACAGAGAAAAUAUGUACAUUAAUUAACAUGUACAUUACAAUUUCAUGAGUGCACUUUUUCGGUGAGUAAAGAUACUCAGAUAUGGGUGUGUGCGCAGCUAGAGAGGUCUUGCUUGUGCCUUUUAAAUUAUUUAGGUUUAAGAAGAGGUCUGUGGUUGGAAUCCAGGAGGAGCUGCUCGGGGGAAGCCUUUCUGCUGGCCUUACACGUGUGGUGGCAAAGUGGUUUUUUCCAAAGCUGCCAGGAUUCCUGAGCCAAGCUCAGGGAUGGAUGUUUGGCUGUGUUGUACAGCCACGGGCACUGAGUAGAGCAAGGGACAAGAGAAAAUCUGAUAUUUCACACCCUCUGGUGUAAUUUCCUGUGGUUGAGUCUAUCAGGGAGCGCUGGUGCCAUGGUGGUCCCACUGCAUUUCUUGGCUGGUGUGUCCUGGAGGGUGAGGCUCAGGACAAGGCCCUGCAGAAGACUCUCAGAGGGGUUCUGGAGGCACCACUGUUGAUUUUUACCCCCACAGAUUCCAGCUGAGGCUGCUGCAAAGUGACUCCAGUUCUAAAACCAGCUCUGGAAAAGGUCCUGUGCAUCAGCACUGAGGCACAGCUCAAACAACGAGGAGUUUCUUUGUGCCAAGCGGAUUAAAAAUACCCAAACCAACCCAACCAAACAACUCACGGAUUCUAUCGUCGUCUGAAAGGGAAAAGAAACAUUUUUAUUCAGUGCCACAAAAUUUGCAUCAAUAACAAGUCCAGUAGCACACCAGGAAAUUUCCACAUGAGUAAACUCCACUCACUGCAAAAAGGCUUGUAUCCACUCCUGGAAUUUAAUGGUUCAGCUGGCAUGUGAAAGCUGUUAUUUGGAGGUUUAAUUAUUAAGAUCAAAUUAAAUUUCA
rnacentral:lncRNA from 1 species